rnacentral:lncRNA from 10 species
CGCCAUUGCUCCAUCCAUGAAAUGCACUCUUCUAUACAAGUAAAUUGCCUUGCUGAGAAAAUUUUUGCUGAAGUGCUAUUUCUUUUGCGGCACCGAAAGUUUAUUUCUAACACUUGGUAUGAAGACUUAAUUUCUGAAUUAAAGAUUCGUGGACCUUGUCUCCAACUAGAGGAGCUCUAGCGUACUGAAGGACACUGAGAGGAUGUUGCCAGUUCAAAAGUGCAGAAGCCAUACACACAGAGAAACUAGCUGUCACACAGAGGGUGAACAAGGAUUGUCAGGAUGUGACUAUGGAAGCCAGGAACUUGAAUGACAUGUGAUUUAUAUGAUGUAUUUAUUUCUCCCCCACUACCAUUCCUUGAGUAUACUGUUUUUUCCACCUUCAAUCUGAAGAAUUAUAGAAAUAAAAAAAGUCAAGAUAAUCAUUAAUGAAAAGGGUCAUUAGAAUGAUACCAAAUUUCAACUUCCAAUGGCACAUGGACACUGUAGAGAUCAAUGUGAUCUGAAAUUUUACUAACAGUUUUUAAUUACUGUCUCUCUUUAAAAUGAUCUGAUUGUAUUUUCCUGAAAACAAUAAUCAUCUAGAAGCAUUGCAAUAUCCAUAUUGUUACCCCCACCUUUUAUCCAUAUUGAUUAAGCUAUCUAUCCUGAGAUUAAAUUUACAAAAUAGAUUUAACAAGUUUUGGUGAUGUAAUAUAGCCUCCCAAUUAUGCAACUGUUACUCCUAAUAUUACCUAAGAAAGAUGUUUGAAUGGAACCACUGAAUUAAAGUCUUGGAAGAAUUUUAUUUAGUCUAGGGCUGAUUGCAUUUUAAUUUUUGUAAACAUUUGCUAGUUGUCAAUACUCACUUUUACUUCUUGAAAGACUUAAUAUACAUUCUGGGACCCUAAAGCUAGACAAAGGAAUAAAAUAUUACGGAAAACUCUGUCCUCGUUUAAAAGUAUUAUUGUUCAUAUUUGAUUAUGGUGUUUGACCACAUAACCCUGUAACAUACAAGGGCCCCUGGCCAUCAGCAUUUGGUUAGAUCCUUGCCAAUACUCCAUAGAAUAACCCAUUUCACCGAAG